rnacentral:misc_RNA from 1 species
CGUAAAGGAAGGUGGAUUACUCAUUACACUGAUGUUGAAAAGGUUCCAUGCUUCAAAGUUGGGCAGCAUGUUCGGUUUCGAACUGGAUUAGUUGAGCCAAGAUGGGGCUGGAGGGGUGCCCAGCCUGAUUCACGGGGCAUAAUAACUAGUGUUCAUGCUGAUGCAGAAGUGAGGGUUGCUUUCUUUGGUUUGCCAACAUUGUGGAGGGGAGAUCCUGCAGAUCUUGAGAUUGAGCAGAUGUUUGAAGUGGGAGAAUGGGUCAGACUGAAGGAAGAUGCGGGUAACUGGAAAUCCAUUGGGCCACGCAGCAUUGGUGUUGUACAGGGUAUAGUUUAUGAUGGGGAUGAAUGGGAUGGAAGCACUUAUGUGGGCUUUUGUGGGGAGCAAGAAAGAUGGGUGGGACCUACUUCCCAUCUUGAAAGUGUAGGAAAGCUCAUAGUUGGACAGAAGGUUAGGGUUAAACUCUCUGUGAAACAGCCGAGAUUUGGGUGGUCAGGUCACAGUCAUGCGAGUGUUGGAACAAUAUCCGCAAUUGAUGCUGAUGGGAAACUGAGAAUAUAUACUCCUGUAGGCUCGAAAACUUGGAUGCUUGAUCCCUCAGAAGUGGAGCUGGUGGAGGAAGAGGA